AGAACGAACGUUGGCGGCGUGGAUUAGGCAUGCAAGUCGAGCGAAUCUCAGCUUUGUAGCAAUACCGAGUUGGGGGAAGCGGCGAAAGGGGCAGUAAUGCAUGGGUAACGUACCCCGGGGACGCGGAUAGCUAUUCUAACGAGUAGGUAAUACGCGGCGAUUUGACGAGGGGGCAUCCUCUUGUCAGGAAAUGAAUUUCGCCUCGGGAGCGGCUCAUGUCGUAUUAGCUAGUUGGUGAGGUAACGGCUCACCAAGGCAAAGAUGCGUAGCGGGUGUGAGAGCACGACCCGCGCCACUGGCACUGAGACACUGGCCAGACACCUACGGGUGGCUGCAGUCGAGGAUCUUCGGCAGUGGGCGCAAGCCUGACCGAGCGACGCCGCGUGUGCGAUGAAGGCCUUCGGUGUAACGCACUGUCGAGGGAGUAAAGCCGAAAGUUGAUUGAGUCCUGGAGAGCGAGGUCGUAGUCGCGCAGCGCGCGUA
rnacentral:rRNA from 1 species